UAGUCUAAUAAAUAUAUCUAUCCAGCUUUCAGGGAAUUUAAGCAGGUUAAGGAAAUGGAAUCUCACCUCCUUCACAGAAUACAUAUAAAUGUUAGAUACUGUAAAGAAGCCACGCCUGAGGAUACUGUGGUCUCUUAGGAUACGUCUUUGGGCCAAGCAGUAUGCCAGACGGAUUAUACUUUUUUGAGUGGAAGACUCCAGAAUGGAGGUGAUUCAUACCACUGAUUGUUGGAUCAAAAAUGAUGAAUACUGACCACUGUCAAUUUUGGCUACCUACUCACAGUGUGAACUCCUAACACCCAAUCUCCUUUAUUAGUUCAUAUUCCCAAAUCUAAAAUUUUUCAAGAUGGCAAAAAAUCAAGAAAUAAUUGAAGAGUUCCUGUGCAGAAAAUGUGCAGUAUCCAGGUAAACAUUAAAUUUGAGGGAUCAGAAGCAACAGGAACUUUUAAAAAUAUGUGCAAGGACCAAAACAAAAACUUCGUCUAUGUAUUAUUAUGCUAAACCUCUAGUAAAAGAAAAUGGCAACCAUACAAGAUUAUCACAAGA